rnacentral:rRNA from 1 species
GGAUUAGGCAUGCAAGUCGAACGAGGAUAUAUCCUUCGGGGUAUAAGCCGAGUGGCGCAAGGGUGAGUAAUGCAUAGAUUACCUGCCUCUAGGAUAAGGACAACUUUGUGAAAACGAAGCUAAUACUUAAUAAUACAAAAGAAAAUAAUUUUCUUUUGUCAAUGGGAGGGUAGCAAUACCUUUUGCCUAGAGAGGGGUUUAUGUCCUAUCAGCUUGUUGGUGGGGUAAUGGCCUACCAAGGCGAAGACGGGUAGCCGGUCUUAGAGGAUGGUCGGCCACACUGGGACUGAGACACUGCCCAGACCUCUACGGAAGGCUGCAGUCGAGAAUCUUUCGCAAUGCCCGAAAGGGUGACGAAGCGACGCCGCGUGAGUGAGGAAGGCCUUAGGGUUGUAAAGCUCUGUCAGGAGUUAAGAAAUAUAAGUGUGUUAAUACCACAUUUAUUUGACGAAGGCUCCAAAGGAAGCCACGGCUAACUCUGUGUCAGCAGCCGCGGUAAUACAGAGGUGGCAAGCGUUGUUCGGAAUUAUUGGGCGUAAAGAGCACGUAGGUGGGUUUGUAAGUCAGAUGUGAAAGCCUUCUGUUCAACGGAAGAAUUGCAUCUGAAACUGCAAGUCUUGAGUGUAGGAGGGGAGAAUGGAACUUCUGGUGGAGCGGUGAAAUGCGUAGAUAUCAGAAGGAACGCCGGCGGCGAAAGCGAUUCUCUGGCCUAUUACUGACACUCAGUGUGCGAAAGCUAGGGGAGCAAACGGGAUUAGAUACCCCGGUAGUCCUAGCCGUAAACGAUGGGCACUAAGUAGAGGGGAUUACCGAUGUUCUCUCUGCCGUAGCUAACGCAUUAAGUGCCCCGCCUGGGGAGUACGGCCGCAAGGCUAAAACUCAAAAGAAUUGACGGGGGCUCGCACAAGCGGUGGAGCAUGUGGCUUAAUUCGAUGCAACGCGAAAAACCUUACCGGGGCUUGACAUGGUAGAAGUAGGAACCCGAAAGGGUAACGAACGGUAUCCAGUCCGUAGCUAUCACAGGUGUUGCAUGGCUGUCGUCAGCUCGUGUCGUGAGACGUUGGGUUAAGUCCCCUAACGAGCGAAACCCUUGUUUUUAGUUACCAGCGGGUUAUGCCGGGUACUCUAGAAAGACUGCCGUCGUCAAGACGGAGGAAGGUGGGGAUGACGUCAAGUCAUCAUGGCCCUUAUGCCCCGGGCUGCACACGUGCUACAAUGGUCGGUACAAACGGAAGCGAAGCCGAGAGGUGAAGCGAAUCCUAAAAAGCCGAUCUCAGUUCGGAUUGGAGGCUGAAAUUCGCCUCCAUGAAGUUGGAAUCGCUAGUAGUCGCGGAUCAGCAAUGCCGCGGUGAAUAUGUUCCCGAGCCUUGUACACACCGCCCGU